GGGUAAAGAUAAAGUGUUUCCAUCUCCAGCCAAUCUUAGGGAAGGCAGGAGGGCACUCCUCCAAUGGGAGCCCGGGAGCCAUCGGUAGCGGUGUAGGCCUGUGGCCCGGCUCGCGCUUCAGCCGGCGGGAGGGACGCGUCCAGUGGUUCUCGAGAUCUCGCUGCCGGCCCCUUGUACCUGUUUGCGCGCGGCAGCCGCGGCACCGACGGCGGCUAGAGGUGUCGGGUCAGCGGAUUGCAGAGGAUCGCGCAGGUAGCAAAGGAAGGCCAAGUGCUUCUGUGGCCCCAGACAGCAACCAGUUACUUCCUCUACUGAAGUGUUGGACCCCUCGAAGUCAUCUGUGAGGACGGGAAUCAACUUCUUCCAAACUCCUGUUAAUUUUGAUAUUUUGACCUCCUCCCAUGAAUCACAAAUGAAUGGCUUCUAGAAUGCUUGAAGAACUCCCCUUAGCAUUUCUUAUAAGACGGAUCUGGUGUGGAUGAACCACCUCAGCUUUUGCUUUCCUGGAAAAGUCUUUAUCUAGCCCUCAUUUCUGAAGACCAGCUUUGCCAGGUGCUGUAAUCUGUCACCUGGUUUCCUUAGCCCUUGUGAAGUAUUUUCGUGCAUGGAUAGUUGUUCAAAUUGAUGUUUCUGCGGGGGGACAAGCACUGGAAAGUCCUAUUCUGCCAUCUCGCUGACGUCUGGACUCCUAAGGUUGCCUCAGCAGAUCUAUUGUUGGCCACAAUUUUAGUUGAGAUCAAGUCAAUGAGCUCUUACCUUACGAACUGGCUUCCUAUUCCCAUGGGAUGCCUCACUGAGAUGCAGUGAUUAUUACGCUGACAUGAAAGAUUUAACGUGCAGCUCUGGGCAGCAGAGAGGAGCUAUGCAGGGGCUGCGCCACACAGACUUCUCCAACCUCCAUCCUUCACCUUAAUCUGAUUUUUAUUUUGCUCCUGCUCAUCAGGAUACUUUGUUCUGUGUGCAUUUAUGUAUAAUAUUCGAUUUUUUAUUAGAUUCAGUCUGGUCUUUUCACAAUAUUUUUCUGAUAACAUGGAAGUUUUAUCUUCAUUAUCACAAUCAUCAGCAUCUACUAUUAAGUGCUGCUAAAAGGAGCAUGCCUGAUUUUAUUUUCUCAGUUAUUUCCCCAUUCUCUCUUUCCCUUUCCUUUCCUUUC